rnacentral:lncRNA from 1 species
CAACUGAGCAAGAUACAGUUCAAUAGGAUUUUCUUGAUCUGCUUUGAGAUUUCGAUAACACAUAUUGUUUACAAGGAAAAGAACUGGCAGUUGAUGCCCAUGUCACUGAAAAUCAGGAUACUAUUUUUAAAACUGUGAUUCAUGCAGUUGGUGAAAACGGAAGUGAAGAAUUUGACAGUGUGAGUCAUAGGAAAAAUGUUGAUGUGGCGACAAGAUCACUGGACAUGGAACCAGAAGAUGUGUGGGGAAUUUGAUCUGGAAUCGAGGGAAGGGGAAUUUCUUUUGCUCCACUUCAUCAAGAUGACACUUGGAGCAAAGAAGUGGCCACACAUAUGAACUUACAAUGAGAGAGGAUCAGAAGGAAACCAGUCAACUCAGGAAUGGCAACCUGUGAGACAAGGGCUCAUAAAACGACCUUCAGGAAUUGAAGGGGAUAAAGGUGUUAUCGACACAUGACUGGGGCAGCUACCUGGACGUUGCCAAGAGUCUACUGGUGAUCAGUAGAAGCUCACUGACGGGCAUGUUUGAAGCUUGCCUGUAGGAUUUCUCAAACCAGGCAGGGCAGCCCAAUGAAGACUAAGCUGGGAAGAUGUUUUGUUACAAGGAUCUGAAGAAACACACAUUCAAAGUUAUUGCAAAGUACGAUGAUUUGAAAUUGAACCAGACUUUCCAUCUGAAAGACAGAUCCCCACAUGUCCCUCCCAAGUGAGGAUUUUACUCAGUUAACCAGCAUUUAAUUGCACCAAUUAAUGGGAUAGAUUUCCCUGAGAUAUACACAAGCACAAGAUAGCACACAUUCAGCUCUAACUGGAGAAUAUGAAAGGCAAAUGGCAAGGUUGUGUGCUUUCCUCAAUGACGUGAGGGGUCAAGAUUCAUGUCCUGAAAUCUGGUCGUUAGUCCAGGACUCCUUCAGGUCUGGGUAAGGAUUUCUACUAAACAGGGCCUCAGGACCCUAAAGAAAGUGUCUUCCCUGGAACCAGGUCCAGUUCCUCUGCAGAGGUGCUUUAUUAUUGAGGUAGAAGAAGCCCUUAU